GUAUGUCGUCGGAAGCGACCGAAGUUGGACGCAAUGUUUCGCCGUCCAAAGUAGGACACGUCCUCAGUUUGAAGGGACUUAAGGAGAAACAGCGGCAGGUGGAAGCUAAAGCUAGGCUACAGGUGGAAGCUAAAGCUAGGCUACAGGUGGAAGCUAAAGCUAGGCUACAGGUGGAAGCUAAAGCUAGGCUACAGGUGGAAGCUAAAGCUAGGCUACAGGUGGAAGCUAGCGAAUACAGCAUGCCGGAAACACGACAGCUGUUAAGGAAAACGGCAACGUAGCUAAUUUAACUAGCAAGACAAAACGUCGCCAAAUUGUGCGUUUUUUCGGGCUUCGCCGUCCGAAAUUGGACACCGAUCCGCUACGUCAGCUGGGGCCGGCGCUAGCGCCAGUCGGUCCACUAGUGGAUUACCUGGGUUAUUACCUCGAUUAUUGCCUGGAUUAUUACCUGGAUUAUUUUACAUCUGCUUGCCAUGUUUUUAUUUUGACCGAAUCCGAGUUGUGGGAUUUGGACGGAGAACAAGACAAUGGAGUAUGGACACAGUUGAAGGGUGAGACGGAUGUUUGGUCAGCUAGCUAACAUUAGCUAAAUCAACUUCCGGGUUAUAACAGUUCUCCUGCUGCUAUGUCAGGGAUGCAAACUUGUCACCUUUCGGCGAAAAUCAUCGUUGUGAGUCCUCAAUAAGUCAUUUGUGUGAUUCGUGCAGAUUCAGUUAGUUGUGUGAAAAGGGUGUGUGUCGUGUGUGUUUACAUGGUAAAGGAAUUAAAGCAGUGGCACACCUCAGCCAGGAAAACAAGGUGUCAAUGUCUAAUAUGUGAACAUGAUGUGAGCAGCAGAGCACACGUUACGUUACAUCGUAUCUGUCAGAAAACGGUGAAGAAUGGUGAUCACUGUUUCCCAAAGACCAAGGUGAUGUCCUUAAGGGUCUGCCAUGAACCGAUGUCUGCCUUAGAUUUCUUCAGCAGCAAGACGCUCAUCAAGGCAAGGUGAUGAUUGUCAGAGGGAAAGGGAAAAUGCAGCAUGAGCUCGAGAAGUGCCCGGGGAGUUGCUGUGAUGUAUUGUGGGGUUGUUAGUUUCCACAACCUCACUGCAGGCCUUCACUCAACCUGCAGAUCAAGCAUUGGAACAAGGUUUACGACAGAGAACAGGCGCCCAACGGAGAGACAAGUCUACCAUUAGUAUCAACUGCAAUAUACUAUAAGACAAGAUAUUAGUCAAUGUUAUCCACUAUCCCUUACAUUAUGAUGGAGAUCUGUAAGUGUAGACACAUCUUUAAAAGCCUUGGUGGAAAAGUCUAAGUAUUUUGCUCCAAGAGCUGGAAAUACAGACAAGUCAUCAGUUACAACUCACAUGGGCCUCUCAAUUGGCUGUCUUUUCACACGUGACUUUUGCUACACUUCUGCCGCGGAAGAUUUGCAAAUGUGUGUGGUGAUUUGUGUGCAUGUGAUUCUUUUUCACAUUUACAAUCUAUACAGACACAACUCUCUGCACACAUUUGUAAAUAGUUUUACAACAACAAUAGAGAGCCCAAGUCACGCCCCUUCCGGUGUGCCCCAUGGGACCUUAUUUCAGAUAAGUUUUGUAUGGCAGUCAAUGGUGAGAGACAAAUUAUUUCUUGAGCCUGUUUGAAUUGAGCCGUGAAUCACACAUAUGAUGUUUGUCAAUUUAAAAGGUAAUUUUACAAGUAAAGAAAGUCGUAGCUUGUCGUAGAAAUAGUAAAGAACCAUGUAGUCAUUCACAGCGGCAUGGCCGUUAGCUCGACACAUAAUGAGGGAAAAAGUAUUAAAAGAGAUGAAAAUGACUACAAGUCUGCUGUUGUUGAGAGCUGCAGUGCUCUGAAAGAAGAGUUAGUCAGUUAAGUCCGUGAGAGCUGCUUGUAGGACUGGCUUUCUGUGAAUGUUGAACGAGACAACGUCACUUAUGUGAGUCGUGGUCGUGUCGUCUUUAUAAUUACGUAUUUUCACAGGCUUUUACUUCAAUAGUUUUACAAUAAACUUCGACU